rnacentral:rRNA from 2 species
GGGUUGUGAGGUUAAGCGACUAAGCGUACACGGUGGAUGCCCUGGCAGUCAGAGGCGAUGAAGGGCGUGCUAAUCUGCGAUAAGCGCCGGUAAGGUGAUAUGAACCGUUAUAACCGGCGAUACCCGAAUGGGGAAACCCAGUGUGAUUCGUCACACUAUCAUUAACUGAAUCCAUAGGUUAAUGAGGCGAACCGGGGGAACUGAAACAUCUAAGUACCCCGAGGAAAAGAAAUCAACCGAGAUUCCCCCAGUAGCGGCGAGCGAACGGGGAGGAGCCCAGAGCCUGAAUCAGCAUGUGUGUUAGUGGAAGCGUCUGGAAAGGCGCGCGAUACAGGGUGACAGCCCCGUACACAAAAGCGCAUGUGCUGUGAGCUCGAUGAGUAGGGCGGGACACGUGGUAUCCUGUCUGAAUAUGGGGGGACCAUCCUCCAAGGCUAAAUACUCCUGACUGACCGAUAGUGAACCAGUACCGUGAGGGAAAGGCGAAAAGAACCCCGGCGAGGGGAGUGAAAAAGAACCUGAAACCGUGUACGUACAAGCAGUGGGAGCCCCACCACUAAGCCAGUGGUGAACUCCACAUACGCAUCCUUUGCUGAGGAUACGGUUAACGGAGCGAAAGCGACGUUCAACCGCAAAACAAGCAGAGGGGGCUUAGUGGUGGGGUGACUGCGUACCUUUUGUAUAAUGGGUCAGCGACUUAUAUUCUGUAGCAAGGUUAACCGAAUAGGGGAGCCGUAGGGAAACCGAGUCUUAACCGGGCGUUAAGUUGCAGGGUAUAGACCCGAAACCCGGUGAUCUAGCCAUGGGCAGGUUGAAGGUUGGGUAACACUAACUGGAGGACCGAACCGACUAAUGUUGAAAAAUUAGCGGAUGACCUGUGGCUGGGGGUGAAAGGCCAAUCAAACCGGGAGAUAGCUGGUUCUCCCCGAAAGCUAUUUAGGUAGCGCCUCGUGAAUUCAUCUCCGGGGGUAGAGCACUGUUUCGGCUAGGGGGCCAUCCCGGCUUACCAACCCGAUGCAAACUGCGAAUACCGGAGAAUGUUAUCACGGGAGACACACGGCGGGUGCUAACGUCCGUCGUGAAGAGGGAAACAACCCAGACCGCCAGCUAAGGUCCCAAAGUCAUGGUUAAGUGGGAAACGAUGUGGGAAGGCCCAGACAGCCAGGAUGUUGGCUUAGAAGCAGCCAUCAUUUAAAGAAAGCGUAAUAGCUCACUGGUCGAGUCGGCCUGCGCGGAAGAUGUAACGGGGCUAAACCAUGCACCGAAGCUGCGGCAGCGAACGUAUCACUUAAAGCGAUUCAGCGGGUUACGAUUGACGGAGCGAAGCGACGUCAAAGCGUAUACAAAGUCGAGUCGGUUUAAGGAUACGUUCGUUGGGUAGGGGAGCGUUCUGUAAGCCUGCGAAGGUGGCCUGUGAGGGUUGCUGGAGGUAUCAGAAGUGCGAAUGCUGACAUAAGUAACGAUAAAGCGGGUGAAAAGCCCGCUCGCCGGAAGACCAAGGGUUCCUGUCCAACGUUAAUCGGGGCAGGGUGAGUCGACCCCUAAGGCGAGGCCGAAAGGCGUAGUCGAUGGGAAACGGGUUAAUAUUCCCGUACUUGGUGUUACUGCGAAGGGGGGACGGAGAAGGCUAUGUUGGCCGGGCGACGGUUGUCCCGGUUUAAGCGUGUAGGUGUGUGUUCCAGGUAAAUCCGGUUCACUUUAACACUGAGGCGUGACGACGAGGCACUACGGUGCUGAAGCAACAAAUGCCCUGCUUCCAGGAAAAGCCUCUAAGCAUCAGGUAACAUCAAAUCGUACCCCAAACCGACACAGGUGGUCAGGUAGAGAAUACCAAGGCGCUUGAGAGAACUCGGGUGAAGGAACUAGGCAAAAUGGUGCCGUAACUUCGGGAGAAGGCACGCUGAUAUGUAGGUGAAGCGGUUUACCCGUGGAGCUGAAAUCAGUCGAAGAUACCAGCUGGCUGCAACUGUUUAUUAAAAACACAGCACUGUGCAAACACGAAAGUGGACGUAUACGGUGUGACGCCUGCCCGGUGCCGGAAGGUUAAUUGAUGGGGUCAGCGCAAGCGAAGCUCCUGAUCGAAGCCCCGGUAAACGGCGGCCGUAACUAUAACGGUCCUAAGGUAGCGAAAUUCCUUGUCGGGUAAGUUCCGACCUGCACGAAUGGCGUAAUGAUGGCCAGGCUGUCUCCACCCGAGACUCAGUGAAAUUGAACUCGCUGUGAAGAUGCAGUGUACCCGCGGCAAGACGGAAAGACCCCGUGAACCUUUACUAUAGCUUGACACUGAACAUUGAGCCUUGAUGUGUAGGAUAGGUGGGAGGCUUUGAAGUGUGGACGCCAGUCUGCAUGGAGCCGACCUUGAAAUACCACCCUUUAAUGUUUGAUGUUCUAACGUGGACCCGUGAUCCGGGUUGCGGACAGUGUCUGGUGGGUAGUUUGACUGGGGCGGUCUCCUCCUAAAGAGUAACGGAGGAGCACGAAGGUUGGCUAAUCCUGGUCGGACAUCAGGAGGUUAGUGCAAUGGCAUAAGCCAGCUUGACUGCGAGCGUGACGGCGCGAGCAGGUGCGAAAGCAGGUCAUAGUGAUCCGGUGGUUCUGAAUGGAAGGGCCAUCGCUCAACGGAUAAAAGGUACUCCGGGGAUAACAGGCUGAUACCGCCCAAGAGUUCAUAUCGACGGCGGUGUUUGGCACCUCGAUGUCGGCUCAUCACAUCCUGGGGCUGAAGUAGGUCCCAAGGGUAUGGCUGUUCGCCAUUUAAAGUGGUACGCGAGCUGGGUUUAGAACGUCGUGAGACAGUUCGGUCCCUAUCUGCCGUGGGCGCUGGAGAACUGAGGGGGGCUGCUCCUAGUACGAGAGGACCGGAGUGGACGCAUCACUGGUGUUCGGGUUGUCAUGCCAAUGGCACUGCCCGGUAGCUAAAUGCGGAAAAGAUAAGUGCUGAAAGCAUCUAAGCACGAAACUUGCCCCGAGAUGAGUUCUCCCUGAGACUUAGAGUCUCCUGAAGGAACGUUGAAGACGACGACGUUGAUAGGCCGGGUGUGUAAGCGCAGCGAUGCGUUGAGCUAACCGGUACUAAUGAACCGUGAGGCUUAACCUUACAACGCCGAAG